rnacentral:rRNA from 1 species
AGUGAACGCUGGCGGUAGGCCUAACACAUGCAGGUCGAACGGCAGCACAGUAAGAGCUUGCUCUUACGGGUGGCGAGUGGCGGACGGGUGAGGAAUACAUCGGAAUCUACUUUUUCGUGGGGGAUAACGUAGGGAAACUUACGCUAAUACCGCAUACGACCUACGGGUGAAAGCAGGGGAUCUUCGGACCUUGCGCGAUUGAAUGAGCCGAUGUCGGAUUAGCUAGUUGGCGGGGUAAAGGCCCACCAAGGCGACGAUCCGUAGCUGGUCUGAGAGGAUGAUCAGCCACACUGAAACUGAGACACGGUCCGGACUCCUACGGGAGGCAGCAGUGGGGAAUAUUGGACAAUGGGCGCAAGCCUGAUCCAGCCAUACCGCGUGGGUGAAGAAGGCCUUCGGGUUGUAAAGCCCUUUUGUUGGGAAAGAAAAGCAGCAGGUUAAUACCCCGCUGUUCUGACGGUACCCAAAGAAUAAGCACCGGCUAACUUCGUG